CGGCAUUUGGGGGCCGCAACCCACGGGCGGUAGCGUG
rfam:Idiomarina woesei strain DSM 27808 genome assembly, contig: Ga0061064_104